GUUAGCUCAGUGGUAGAGCGCUUGCCUUGCAUGCAGGAGGCCCUGGGUUUGAUUCCACAC
rnacentral:tRNA from 1 species